UUGCAAUAUAGUGUCUAGACGAGACAGAUGACGUGAAGAACAAUUUGCCCAUAACUGGCGUUAUUACUUUGAUCAUCACUCUUUCCAAUGCGACCUGGCUGAGUGAUAGUAAAUGCCCUAAUCCCAGUUAAAGAUCUAGCAGGAACUCUGUAUUGUAGGUUAGGACUAAUCCUGUCAAGAGAAGGGGGAAAUGAUAUAAGUGAAUUUGUAAGCCAUCUUGGGUUGGGAUAUCCAUCCAGUUUGCCCCAAUUGCAGAUGAACG
rnacentral:misc_RNA from 1 species